rnacentral:lncRNA from 1 species
CUAGUGUGUCUGGGACUAUUCUAUUAGAAGGCACAAACUGGUUGACUUGUCGCUUUCCAAUGCACAAUUACAUGUUCAAACAGCUAGUUUCAAGAAGGCUUCUUAAUGUUAGGAAGAUAUCAUUUCUUUCCUACAUUUUGUCUUCUGAUUAAUCCCAGUUAAAGUCUGAGAAAAUUUUUCCAUCCUUCAAGAUUGUGCAAUGGGGAAAUUAGGAUGUUGUCCCUUCAAUUUGGAAAGUAACUCUGCAACCUGCGGUUAAUACCUGGAGUAACAAGAACAUCUUUUAGUGGAAAGGGCACACCAUUUGAUAUAUACUUUUAUAUAUCAACCUUUUAUUUUGUGGCAUUUGAAGAGAUUGUCCUAGCAAUAGAAAAAUCUUUCAUUAUGAUGUCUAAAACUAUCCAAGAUUAUUCAAAGCCUUCAUGAUGAACUGAAAGUUAAGCCAUAAGGUAUUGGGUCCACAGAUCUUAUGUUUUGCUGUCCAGAUCUGUGUUAGGACGUAUCUGGACACGAAAUUCCAAAUAGUUGGUUCAAAAAGAUGGUUGUAAGGUUCUUAAGGCUCCUAGAUAUUUUGUAAAACAUGGGUUAAUGUGAGGACAAGUCAAUAAAAUGGUACUGAAAACAAAAAGUCUACUUUAUCAUUUUCAGUCAAAUCAU